CCCUGCCCCAAUCCCAGCCCCAGCCCUGGUCCUGUUUCCUGCAGGGUCUCCUGUGGGGCAGAGCCUUCCCUCGGCCCAUCCAGCAGUGCAGGCUCUGUCGGAGCCCAGCCCUGCCUCCUGUCCCACCUUCAGGAGGCAGAACAUCCCCUGCGCCCUUCUGUGAUCCGUGUUUGCUGGCAGUGGCCACUGGUGGCCAGCAAGGGCCUGGGCCAGGACUUAGGAGUCAGUUCCCAGUCGUUCUUGCUCCAGUCUGUGCUCUUGGAACAAGCCCCAGAGCCUGAGAAAACAAAAUUUACAGCCUGCAGGGUUGUUCAAAGGACAGUGAGGAUGAGGAGAAGCCUUCCUCUGAAAAGACCCCCAGAAGGAAAAAGACCCCUCAGCAGCAAGCGGAGCAUGUGCUAUGGAGGAUAGUGACGUAGAUUUUGAGAAUUGAAAAUUGGGGGAGAUUUAUGGGAACUAUUGAUGAGUAUGAAUCAGCAAACAGUAUAGAAGUUGUGUUUGGAUUCUUUGGUACAUGAGGCAGGGUGGGAAGCCCUCCCCUACCCCAAUCGAUUGGUUUUGCUUAUGCUUCAUCCAAACCGCUGCCAAAUUUCCUUUUGUAUCUGCUUGAUUAUAUUUGAUUAUAUUCAAUUAAAAUUGCUGCUGAA